AUUGAACGCUGGCGGCAGGCCUAACACAUGCAAGUCGAGCGGAUGAAGGGAGCUUGCUCCUGGAUUCAGCGGCGGACGGGUGAGUAAUGCCUAGGAAUCUGCCUGGUAGUGGGGGAUAACGUCCGGAAUCGGGCGCUAAUACCGCAUACGUCCUGAGGGAGAAAGUGGGGGAUCUUCGGACCUCACGCUAUCAGAUGAGCCUAGGUCGGAUUAGCUAGUUGGUGGGGUAAAGGCCUACCAAGGCGACGAUCCGUAACUGGUCUGAGAGGAUGAUCAGUCACACUGGAACUGAGACACGGUCCAGACUCCUACGGGAGGCAGCAGUGGGGAAUAUUGGGCAAUGGGCGAAAGCCUGAUCCAGCCAUGCCGCGUGUGUGAAGAAGGUCUUCGGAUUGUAAAGCACUUUAAGUUGGGAGGAAGGGCAGUAAGUUAAUACCUUGCUGUUUUGACGUUACCAACAGAAUAAGCACCGGCUAACUUCGUG
rnacentral:rRNA from 1 species